rnacentral:rRNA from 1 species
AUUGAACGCUGGCGGCAGGCCUAACACAUGCAAGUCGAGCGGAUGAAGGGAGCUUGCUCCUGGAUUCAGCGGCGGACGGGUGAGUAAUGCCUAGGAAUCUGCCUGGUAGUGGGGGAUAACGUCCGGAAACGGGCGCUAAUACCGCAUACGUCCUGCGGGAGAAAGUGGGGGAUCUUCGGACCUCACGCUAUCAGAUGAGCCUAGGUCGGAGUAGCUAGUUGGUGGGGUAAAGGCCUACCAAGGCGACGAUCCGUAACUGGUCUGAGAGGAUGAUCAGUCACACUGGAACUGAGACACGGUCCAGACUCCUACGGGAGGCAGCAGUGGGGAAUAUUGGACAAUAGGCGAAAGCCUAAUCCAGCCAUGCCGCGUGUGUGAAGAAGGUCUUCGGAUUGUAAAGCACUUUAAGUUGGGAGGAAGGGCAGUAAGUUAAUACCUUGCUGUUUUGACGUUACCAACAGAAUAAGCACCGGCUAACUUCGUG